rnacentral:hammerhead_ribozyme from 1 species
AUCCAGAUGACAAGUCCCAAAUUUAACUAAACGCGCGUCCUGGAU